rnacentral:rRNA from 1 species
GACGAACGCUGGCGGUGUGCUUAACACAUGCAAGUCGAACGGUAAGGCCCUUUCGGGGGUACACGAGUGGCGAACGGGUGAGUAACACGUGAGUAACCUGCCCUCAUCUCUGGGAUAACAGUCGGAAACGGUUGCUAAUACUGGAUAUGAGCUUGCAAGGCAUCUUGUGGGUUGGAAAGAUUUUUUUGGUUGGGGAUGGACUCGCGGCCUAUCAGCUUGUUGGUGAGGUAGUGGCUCACCAAGGCUUCUACGGGUAGCCGGCCUGAGAGGGCGACCGGCCACAUUGGGACUGAGAUACGGCCCAAACUCCUACGGGAGGCAGCAGUGGGGAAUAUUGCACAAUGGACGGAAGUCUGAUGCAGCAACGCCGCGGGCGGGAGGACGGCCUUAGGGUUGUAAACCGCUUUCAAUUGUGACGAAGCUUUUUGUGACGGUAGCAGUAGAAGAAGCACCGGCUAACUACGUG